GUAAGGAGGCCGAGAGUGAAGAUAACAGUGAGGACCCGCGCGGGGGGGGGGGGGGGGGGGGGAAGGGUACAUAAGAGGCGAUCUGACGUAAAGUGAAGUUGCUGGUGAAUGUUGGGUUUGGAUUGUACAAUCUAAACAUUCUGCAACAAAAUACAAUCCGAACGUUGGGAAGGAACUCUAGCCGCCAACGAGCCAUUCAGACCCCCUAAUACGACACCAAACCUACGAAUCAGCGUCCUCCUCCCCUAGGUCUUGCUGAUCAGGCUAAAGUCAGGAUGCGGACACGGCUUCUGUGCAUCAGUUGGACGUUCGGCCAACCCAACUCCCGAAACACAUCUUUAUUACCAUCCAUGGUCCUCGCUGGCUUACAGAGAACUCUCACCAUCCACGGUCCCUGCUAUAGAUCGAAAGUAUGGUCUUCAUUUCACGGAACUAUUUGUUAGGAAGUUUAGAAGGGAAGAAAUUAACAUUACUUAAUAGAGAGGAGCUAGACUCCUAGAAAAUAGCAGGGAAGUUGCUGGUGAAUGUUGGGUUUGGAUUGUACAAUCUAAACAUUUUGCCACAAAAUACAAUCCGAACGUUGGGAAGGUUCGGAUUUUGAAUUUGUGUUUGUUUGUAGUAGAAAUUAGUAUUUGUAGGUUGAAUUUGGUUAUAUUGAAGUAUAUUUGGUGAUUUGAAGCAUCCUUUGAGAACCCCCAAUUUGAGGUUAAGGUUUUUUCA